UCCAAGUUGCUGGUGACUUCACAUCAUCAUUGUAUAAAACAUAUUUGUACAAUACUAUUUUGCAGCUGGCAUCACACUAGUCCUAUGCACUUUCCUCAUGGUAAACGAGGAAAGCAUUGUAAUGAUUGUGGCUGUUGAUCUGGUGAGGAGAGCAACAAACAACUGCAUUCCCCUGGUGAUACUCAAACUGGAUGGUCAGAAUUUUGUAACAUGAUCUUGACCUUUAGCUUCACUCCAUCGUAUCAACAGUUCCUAUUACUGGUUGGCCGCUUGUACCAUGAAAGCCUGUUCAUUUCUCUGGAUUUGGACUUUGGAGCACAUCCUUGUUUCUUUCUAUAAAUCAUGCCUCUAUAGAAAGAAUUUUUUUCAUUUUUGGCUAAGUAUUACUUUUUCUUGUAAAAUUUCCUGCAAUCAGUUGAGUGGUUAGCAGGUUUUUAAAUUACAAAGUCUAUUAGUGUUCAUCUUCCUAUCCACGGUGCUGUUCCACCAAAUCAGCAGUCUGGAAGCUGUUCCGCCAUAUCAGUAGUUUAGAUCACCUAGUGCUCCAUAAUACAUUCUUGGAGAUGCAUGACAAGAUUAUUACGGGAUGUUUUGUUUGUUGCACUUCUACAUGGAUCUGAAGGUAGAUCACAUUGACAAUUAUCUUGUAUGCACUUUUUUUUUCAACAUGUAAUUGUUCUGUUUCUUUUAAUUAGCUAGCAUUAUAUGCACAAUGUUCUUUUUUUCGUUUUUUAAAUUUAACAUGAAUUUUCUUAUCAAUGCAAUAUUUUUUGUUGUUGUUUGUUUGUCCCUUUUUAUGCUUAUACUUAUGAAGGUGCUUAAUUCAAUGGAUUUGAUAUUGAAUUUGGUAUGCUUAUAGGAGUUGAGGCUAGGGGCUUUAUAUUUGGUCCUCCAAUUGCGUUAGCAUUUGGUGCAAAGUUUGUUCCGUUGAGAAAACCAAGAAACUUGCCAGGUAUAAGUUCAAAUUUCAAAUACCCUCAUAUUUUUCUCUUGUCAUUCGGAGGUAAUCAUGCUAUACCAAAAAAAAAAAAAAGAGUCCAUGUAAUGGGUGUUGUUGCUUUUCUAAUGCACAUUGUCAAAACUCAUGAGACUUUAAGACUCUAAUUAAGGUUUCUUUGAAUGUUCAAGCCCAAGGACUGCCUAUUUUUUCUUUCUUUUGUGGAAUAUUAUGGAGUCCACCUGCUUUCAUGAAUUACUAGGAAACUAAUUUUGUUUCCUGCUCUUGAGGUUUUAGUGCAUCACAAUAACUACGUUUGUAGUUUACUCAUUUAAGCAUUGUAAAUUAUCUUGUUUACUCAUUUUGGUCCCCAUCCAUUCUAUUUAAUAGAGAACUAACGUAAAGCCUCUGAUCAUUUCGACCAUAAUUUCAUAAUCAAAUGUUGAUUUAUGACAAUCCAAAGCUCAUUGGAAAGUUUAUGUAAUGGGAUUCAAAAUGGUUGCAAAGAUCAUGGUAAUUAGCCAUGGGAGAGUAGAGCAAAGCGAGCUUCAAAACAACAUUUUGCAGUAAAGGCUCCUAAUGGUGAAAAAAGGAUUUCCUCCAAGCAGCAAAUAUUUUAUUUUUAUUUUUUUAAUUGCAUUUUCUGGCAGAAAAAAAAGGAUUUACAGUGCCUAAAGAACAUUAUUUUUGGUGCAUGGAACUAUUCACUUCUACCACAUAACAUCUUGCAUUCAUGUCUUCUUUAUUGCGAUAUUUUAAAAUGAAGUUCUAGGACUAGUUUCAUAUGGGCGCUCUGUUUUUAUAGCUGCAUUGAGGAAAUCAAUCAACGGCAAGUAGAAGUACUAGAUGCCCAACUGACGAUUGAGCAGCUUCAACAGUGAGAUCAGUUGCUCACGGCCCAAAAUGAGAUGUUAAAGAUUGUGUUGGACUGUCAACCAUUCCUCAUGGUGAUUGGUACUGUUCAUAGUGUUUGGGUAACAUAGGCUGUGGCAAUUCAUGUGCAGUUUUUGUAUUCUUCACUUACAAUGUGUAAGGUAUGAAAAUCAUGAAUGAAAAUAGUAACAUUUGUUUCCUCAUAGGGUUCAAGCUGAAAUGUGUAUUUCUUUUUUAUUUUUUCCUUCAGGUCACAACUUCCAUUUACAACCUUAUUAUGGGAAAGCUCUAUUGCGAUCACUAUGGUACCAUGCAAAUAGAAGGAAAUUCUGAAUAUUCGUGUAAGCUAAAAUUCAAGGAGCAAUCGAUCAUAGACUGAAAUCCUCACCAGGUGAUUAAUUCACUAUGGUAACAUAUGCGAGUGCACACAGACUCACCAAGAUUUGUAUUUUCAAUAUUAUUGAAAUUGUAAUUGUAAUUGAUUGAAUGAAGGAUUGAAAUUGAAUGAA